UUUGUUUUUGUUUUUGCCCUCAGCGUAGGAGGGAAGUCCAAGUUCAACAAGCACGUUUCUCAGUUCGAACUUCUAAUCGCUUCGUCUCUUUCCGCUCUGCAUGAUCUCUCCUGCUUUCGCCGAUGGAGUUUAAAAGUUCGUCAAGCGAUUUAGAUGAUUCUGUAUUCGAAUUCACACUUGCUGAGAUUGUGGAGAUGGACAGUAUCUUAAGGGAAUCUGGAGAUCAAACACUUGGUCAACAGUUUUUCCAAGACGUUGCUCUUCAUUUCAGUUGCUCCCCAUGGCGCGCUGAAAAAUCUCCCGUCACUGCGGAACAGGUGCAAAGCUGGUUUGAGAAUCGGAAAAAGGAAUCGCGUAGUAGUAGUACUAGUAGUAGCAAAAAGGCUCGCCCUCCACCUUCACCUCCACCUCCACCUCCACUGUCUUCUCCGCCUCCGACUCCGCCGCCGAAACUUUUGCUUUAUCAUUCGGAUAGUGCUUUUUUAACUGACAUACCUGCAUCUGAACCACCUGAUAGUUUUCCUGAAUUCAAAGGCAAGGCAACUGAUCUUUCAGAAUUGGCAUUUGAAGCCUUUUCGUCAAGAGACAAUGCAUGGUAUGACGUUGCCUCAUUCCUUACUUACAGAGUUAAUUACCAUGGAGAACUGGAUGCUAGAGUUCGAUAUAGUGGCUUCGGAAAGGAUGAGGAUGAGUGGGUGAACGUGGCAAGAGGAGUGCGUGAACGGUCCAUACCUUUAGAAUCUUCAGAGUGUCACAGAGUAAAAGUUGGAGAUCUUGUGUUAUGUUACCGGGAAGGACAAGAUCAUGCUCUCUACUUCGAUGCAUAUGUUAUAGAAAUUCAGAGGAGACUGCAUGAUACUGGAGGUUGCCGAUGCAUAUUCGUUGUACGCUACGAACAUGAUCACUACGAAGAAAAAGUGCAUUUGGGGAGGCUGUGCUGCAGGCCAUCAGCGUACAACUCAGACCAACUUUAAUGUUAAUGAAAUGCUCGAAUCUACUUUCCUCGGAAAAAAGUACAUUUAAAAGAUUUUGUUUGAAAAAGUUAUUUGCAUAUGCGUCAGCUCGCAAGUGACCUGUCCAUGCUUCCCUUGAGGAAAUUGAGAACACUCCCUCCUUUGAUUCAUGAAUUUGGUGUAGCAGACUGAAAUCUCAAAAGCUAAGUAUAUUUUAACUUGAUUAUUAUGUAACCUGCACUUGAAGGGAUAUGUUGUCAUUUGAGAAAAUGGUGAUCCAACAGUGGGCAGCUUAAAUCGAAGAGAAGAAGAGUGGGCCCACCAAGGAUCAAAUUUUCAAAGAGAUGCAAUAUAAAGGUUCUUUGCCCAUUUCUCCUGCAGUAGAGAUGAAAGAUUUAGAUAUUUCAACAAUGGGCACAUAGUGUCGUUGAAACGUGG